CCCUUAGAUGUUCGGGGCCGCACGCGCGCUACACUGAAGGGGACAGCGAGUUUUUCCUGGUUUGAAAAAACCGGGUAAUCUGUUGAAUUCCCUUCGUGACAGGGAUCGGGGCUUGCAAUUAUUCCCCGUGAACGAGGAAUUCCCAGUAAGCGCGAGUCAUCAGCUCGCGUUGAUUACGUCCCUGCCCUUUGUACACACCGCCCGUCGCUACUACCGAUUGAAUGGUUUAGCAAGGUCCUCGGAUUGGUGUCGACUAGGUGGUAACACUUGGUCGAAUACUGAGAAGAAGAUCAAACUUGAUCAUUUAGAGGAAGUAAAAGUCGUAACA
rnacentral:rRNA from 1 species